rnacentral:rRNA from 1 species
GCAAGUCGUGCGAGAAAGUUCUUCGGAUAUGAGUAGAGCGGCGGACGGGUGAGUAACGCGUAGGAAUCUACCUAGUAGAAGGGGAUAGCCCGGGGAAACCCGGAUUAAUACCGUAUACCUCCUUCGGGAGAAAGAAGGCCUCUCUUUGAAGCUUUCGCUAUUAGAUGAGCCUGCGUAAGAUUAGCUUGUUGGUGAGGUAAAGGCUCACCAAGGCGACGAUCUUUAGCUGGUCUGAGAGGACGAUCAGCCACAUUGGGACUGAGACACGGCCCAGACUCCUACGGGAGGCAGCAGUGGGGAAUAUUGGACAAUGGGCGCAAGCCUGAUCCAGCCACACCGCGUGUGUGAAGAAGGCCUUCGGGUUGUAAAGCACUUUAAGCAGGGAGAAAAAGUUAUAAGUUAAUACCUUAUAACCCUGAUGUUACCUGCAGAAUAAGCACCGGCUAAUUCCGUGCCAGCAGCCGCGGUAAUACGGAAGGUGCAAGCGUUAAACGGAAUUACUGGGCGUAAAGCGCGCGUAGGUGGUUUGUUAAGUUGGAUGUGAAAGCCCUGGGCUCAACCUAGGAACUGCAUCCAAAACUAACUCACUAGAGUAUGAUAGAGGGAGGUAGAAUUCAUAGUGUAGCGGUGGAAUGCGUAGAUAUUAUGAAGAAUACCAGUGGCGAAGGCGGCCUCCUGGAUCUGUACUGACACUGAGGUGCGAAAGCGUGGGUAGCGAACAGGAUUAGAUACCCUGGUAGUCCACGCCGUAAACGAUGACAACUAGCUGUUGGGAGACU